rnacentral:rRNA from 1 species
CACGUAGGGUGCGAGCGUUGUCCGGAAUUAUUGGGCGUAAAGAGCUCGUAGGCGGUCUGUCGCGUCGGUCGUGAAAACCUGCAGCUUAACUGUGGGCUUGCGGUCGAUACGGGCAUGACUGGAGUUCGGCAGGGGAGACUGGAAUUCCUGGUGUAGCGGUGAAAUGCGCAGAUAUCCGGAGGAACACCGGUGGCGAAGGCGGGUCUCUGGGCCGAUACUGACGCUGAGGAGCGAAAGCGUGGGGAGCGAACAGG